UUUAACCAUCUCCAUCUCCACCGCAGAAAUUUCUCCCUCUACGCGCAAAGACCGUGCGAAGACUACGCCUCACCCUCUAUAUGCGCGACUCCACCGCUACCGCCGCCAGAGCCAAGUUCUUCUCCAUCCGCCUCCGGAGUCGUGCUCCUCGCUCCUCCUCCUCGCGUGUACUGCUGCUGUGCUGGAGCCGUGGUCUUCCCCAUACGACGUCAUCUCCAGUCGCCGUCGGAGCCGAGGUCGUCCCCUUCCGUCUCCGCCACUAUCGCACAGCACCGCUGCCCCCCCCCCCCACCCCCCUGGAGACGAGUUCUUCUCCAGCUACCGCUGGAGCCGUGCUCCACGCUCCUCCUCGCGUGUAUUGCUGCCGCCGCCGGAGCCCUGGUCUUCCCCAGUCCGUCGCCGGAGCCGAGGCCCCCCCCCCCUCUUCCCCUGCCCUCGAAGCUGAGGUCUUCCCAUCCGGCGACGCCACUGCAGUCCACCGCUGCGCUCAACGGAGCCGAGGCUGCAGCGUUGUGGCGCAGCGCCGUAGUGACGAGCAGACGCGGCAACCGGGCGACGAGGAGCGAGCAGCAGGAGGUGAGGGCGAGGAGCUAGCAGAUCAGGCCAUCCCUCCAUGAAGGGCAUCAGACGACGAGGGGCAAGCAGCAGCAGCUAGCAGAGCAAGCGAUUUUCGAUGGAGAAGAAAACAAUGUUGUUAAAUUAUUAUGCAAGCAAUUCAAGUAGUACCAAUCAAACUGAUGAGAACAGAAUGGAAUUUUUGCUGAUUGUGCACAAAAUAAGAAUAACAAUAGGUCGAACCUACCCUCUAUUUCUAUCCUGUAUUUGCCACUGACGCCCUUGGAACACCACUGCCCUGAUUUCAUCCACUCUUGGCUCCAUUUGGAAUCUGGCCAUCGUCCUGCACCCUGCUUCCCAUUUUCAAAUCAACUUCAGCACCCACAUUCUCCUGGAAGGUUUUUGUCCUGCUCAGGAAGGGGGUGUCGCCAAAGUGAAUUCAAGACAGCUAGCAUUCAAUACUUUACACAAGAUCCAGGAGCCACCAGCAAUGCAAGUGGUUGUCUUACUGGUACUGUACAUUUUCUUCAAUAGAAUAUAGUUGAAAUGUAGUAUUGGGGUUCUGGUAUUAAUGUUCUGUGAUCAGUAUUUGCAAUGUAUUGGAGUUGAAAGAUGCACCUUCUGUUGUAGCAGGAGUAAAAAAAUGCUGGAAUGUAAGUGAAUGUUACAUGUACAUAUGUGCAAACAAUCAUGACCAUUACUAACUUAUUUGUUCUUUCUGCAGGUAUGUUGUGAUGAUCCCAGAGUCCAAGGUUGGAUGCUUCAUAUCAUAAAGGAGUUGUCCAUGUAUUUAGGUACCAUUUGUUAAUAUCAUGACGGCCAUGGUAAAGUUCAUAAUAUGUCAAUGUAUAUAGUUCAUUCCCUAUCGUUAUUUUACUUUUCCUUUGAGCUGAAAUAUUGCCCAUGGGGUUAGCUCAUUUGUGUGGCAUUGGUGGUAUAUUCUGAUUGAAAUUUAUAAUUGGUUGAUGUACUAAAGAGCCAAAAAGCUACCCUAGACCUUUAACUGUUAACCUUGUAUAGAUUUGGAAAUAUAUUGGCAAGGACUCAUGUGACUUCACUAUAUCAUGCUAUUUAUGUUGCUGAUUAAAAUUAAAUUGAGGUGUAUCACUGUGGCAAUUAAGCUAAGAGUAAUCAGAUUCCUAAUGUUUUGAGUUUACAACCUUUUUCCUUUCAUCGUGAAGGCUGCAAUUUAUUUCAGUAAGAUACAAUGUUUCUGCUUUGAGGAUCAAACCCUUCUUCCAAUGCAAAGAAGAAAAAGGGAAAUUCAGCCAAUGUGCAGGUAUAGCAGGAACAAAUGUGUAAAUAUUAGAUGCCUUGCCCAUACAAUCUCUUUGAGAUGUAGCUGUUGGUACUUUCUUAUGUUCCAUGGUGCCAGUGGUAUGUUCUGCAACUUGAGCAAACACGAUUUUCCUUUUUUUUUCUUCUCUUCUUUCACAGUUGCUAAUAGUCAUUUUCUGCACAAAGUUUUAAUUGCAGGCUACUCAAGAACCUAAGAAGUUCUGUCAUGAAGCUGUUGUUUUUCUGGAGUCCCUUUUGGUAACAUCUAUUAGAGGACACUUGGGACCUCACCUAUAAAAAACAAGUAAAUUUUGACCAUUGCUUCAUAUUAAGUGAAUAUCCUCUUUAUAUAUACCAAUGAUCAAUUUUGGAGCUCAGGAAAAUGGAACCAUGGCUUCAUUUCCUUAAAAAGUGCAUCGGUUGAAUCCACAGUGUAUAUUCUGCAAGUUAUAAGCAAGGAUUUUGAUGCUCCUUAUUUCUUCCCUGAAAAUUUCAAGUAAAGAUGUGUUUUUUGGAAUUUUGAAUAUUUGCAUUGUGCUGAUGACUUCUAAUUACUAACGAUGUAAUUCAUAAAUUUUAUCUAUCAGCAUAUGCUUGCUUAGCCGGUUUGUUAUUCUUUUUAUUUGGAUAUACGUAGUUUGCUUGAAAAAUUUGAUGGGGCUAAAAGAUUAUUUGGUUUCUCAGGAAGAUGCUUGAUGCUAAUGUCUUCUCGAGCUUUCAGAUUGUAAGCUUCACAAGAAAAAGAGUGUGGCUGUGGACUCCAGGAUUACAUUGAAUCUUGAAAAGGUAUGCACUAUUCCAAUUUCAGAUGAUGCAUUUCCCUGAUUUGAGAUGUUUCCUUUUUUCCAAUCUAACAAAGGAAACCUUUCCUUGAGGGAAUUCCAUGAAAUAUAUUGGUUUCCAGAUUUCAAGAUUGUUAGGUCAUUUCGUGGCUGCCACUUCAACUGUAGGUGUGUGCAUAGUUUAGCAAUAUGACCUCUUUAGAUUAAUAUUGUGGUGAAGGAAAAUAUAUAGGCGUUUUGACAACUGUUAGUGUUUCUGAAAUGUUCACACUUGCUAUCUACUUUUUACUUCAAUUAAGGCAACUAUGAACAAUAUUUUUUUUUGGAAUUAUGUGAUGACCAUUUCCUGCAAGUGAAAUGGAUGUAAAUUUGUGUUUUGUAGACCACAUGAACUUAUGUGGACACACGGUAGGACCUGUAGGACCUAUAUACAUCUCAUUGGUGAUCAUGUAAAUGCUAUUUUUAAUUGCUGGCCAUGAGGGGUAUAUUUGAAGUAUUGUUGGAGAAAA